GGUGAACGCUGGCGGCGUGCUUAAGACAUGCAAGUCGAACGGGCUCUUCGGAGCCAGUGGCGCACGGGUGAGUAACGCGUAACUGACCUACCCCAAAGUCGCGGAUAACGAUUCGAAAGAAUCGCUAAUACGUGAUGUGCUGUCAGAUCCUGUUCUGCCAGUAAAGAUUUAUUGCUUUGGGAUGGGGUUGCGUUCCAUCAGCUAGUUGGUGGGGUAAAGGCCCACUAAGGCGACGACGGAUCGCCGGCCUGAGAGGGUGGCCGGCCACAGGGGCACUGCGACCCGGGUCCCACUCCUGCGGGAGGCAGCAGUUAGGAGUCUUCCACAAUGGGCGAAAGCCUGAUGGAGCGACGCCGCGUGAGGGAUGAGGGUCUUCGGAUCGUAAGCCUCUGAAUCAGGGACGAAAGACGCGAAAGCGGGAUGACGGUACCUGAGUAAUAGCACCGGCUAACUCCGUG
rnacentral:rRNA from 1 species